GAGCAAUUCGCUCUAAGAUGAGCCCGCGCGGGAUUAGCUAGUUGGUGGGGUAAUGGCUCACCAAGGCUACGAUCUCUAACUGGUCUGAGAGGAUGAUCAGUCACACUGGAACUGAGACACGGUCCAGACUCCUACGGGAGGCAGCAGUAGGGAAUAUUGCGCAAUGGGGGAAACCCUGACGCAGCGACGCCGCGUGAGUGAUGAAGGACUUCGGUUCGUAAAGCUCUGUCGCAGGGGAAUAAAAACG
rnacentral:rRNA from 1 species